UACGUAGGGGGCAAGCGUUAUCCGGAUUUACUGGGUGUAAAGGGUGCGUAGGUGGCGAGGCAAGUCUGAUGUGAAAGCCCGGGGCUCAACCCCGGUAUUGCAUUGGAAACUGUUUUGCUAGAGUGCCGGAGAGGUAAGUGGAAUUCCUAGUGUAGCGGUGAAAUGCGUAGAUAUUAGGAGGAACACCAGUGGCGAAGGCGGCUUACUGGACGGUAACUGACACUGAGGCACGAAAGCGUGGGGAG
rnacentral:rRNA from 1 species